GACGAACGCUGGCGGCGUGCUUAACACAUGCAAGUCGAACGGAAAGGCCCUGCUUUUGUGGGGUGCUCGAGUGGCGAACGGGUGAGUAACACGUGAGUAACCUGCCCUUGAUUUUGGGAUAACUUCAGGAAACUGGGGCUAAUACCGGAUAGGAGCUCCUGCUGCAUGGUGGGGGUUGGAAAGUUUCGGCGGCUGGGGAUGGACUCGCGGCUUAUCAGCUUGUUGGUGGGGUAGUGGCUUACCAAGGCUUUGACGGGUAGCCGGCCUGAGAGGGUGACCGGCCACAUUGGGACUGAGAUACGGCCCAGACUCCUACGGGAGGCAGCAGUGGGGAAUAUUGCACAAUGGGCGGAAGCCUGAUGCAGCAACGCCGCGUGCGGGAUGACGGCCUUCGGGUUGUAAACCGCUUUCGCCUGUGACGAAGCGUGAGUGACGGUAAUGGGUAAAGAAGCACCGGCUAACUACGUG
rnacentral:rRNA from 1 species